rnacentral:rRNA from 1 species
GUCGGCAGCGUCAGAUGUCUAUAUGAGACAGAUUCCGAACACGGAAGUUAAGACCUCCAGGGCCGAUGAUACUUGGGGCAUAGCCCCUGGGAAAGUAGGUUAUUGCCAGGU